rnacentral:rRNA from 1 species
GACAGAGGAUGCAAGCGUUAUCCGGAAUGAUUGGGCGUAAAGCGUCUGUAGGUGGCUUUUCAAGUCCGCCGUCAAAUCCCAGGGCUCAACCCUGGACAGGCGGUGGAAACUACCAAGCUGGAGUACGGUAGGGGCAGAGGGAAUUUCCGGUGGAGCGGUGAAAUGCGUAGAGAUCGGAAAGAACACCAACGGCGAAGGCAGGUCUCUGGGCCACUACUGACGCUGAGAAGCGAAAGCAUGGGGAGCGAACAGG